GGCUGCUACGCACCGCAGCCCGGCGGCGUCACUAGCGCCGGCUCCCCAGGACACUGUCGACCAGAAACGGGGAGUGAGCCGGACCGAAGUCCCGCUGAAAACAUCCGCUCAGUCUCAUGAUGUCAGCUCUGUCUUCAUGUCUCCACGUCGUCCACUCUCAUCAGCUCCAGAUAAAAGACGUCCAUUGAGGAGCCGGUGGCCUUAAUGUGAUGGAGCAGCUUCAUUCAGAGCAGCAGUUUGGUCCAUGUCCCAUCCGCUAACAUGGAGGAGGUUUAUGACCUACACUGCAACCAGACACCAGGGGGCGCUACGGAAACUUUGAUUCCAUCUUUAUUUACAGUCGGUCAGUCGCCUCUAAAAAGUGCAG